rnacentral:rRNA from 1 species
AUACGGAGGAUGCAAGCGUUAUCCGGAUUUAUUGGGUUUAAAGGGUGCGUAGGCUGCCGUGUAAGUCAGAGGUGAAAUCUCCGGGCUCAACCUGGGAACUGCCUUUGAUACUGCAUGUCUGGAGUUCGGAUGCCGUGGGAGGACUGGGCAGUGUAGCGGUGAAAUGCAUAGAUAUUGCCCAGAACACCGAUUGCGAAGGCAUCUCACGAAUCCGACACUGACGCUGAGGCACGAAAGCGUGGGGAUCAAACAGGAUUAGAUACCCUGGUAGUCCACGCAGUAAACGAUGAUAACUAACCGUCGGCGAUAGACAGUCGGUGGCCAAGCGAAAGCGAUAAGUUAUCCACCUGGGGAGUACGUUCGCAAGAAUGAAACUCAAAUGAAUUGACGGGG